GGAUUCUCCACAAGAGUUUAUGUAGGAAGUCACCCUGCAAGUACCUUGAUUUAGGAUUUGGGGCCUUCAGAACUGUGAGAAAAUCUGUUUGUUUUUCUUAAAGAUUUUCAGCUUAUAAUAAUUAUUUAAAGCAGCCAUAGAAACCUAAUAUGCUAUCUUUCUAGAAGUGUUUCUCCACUUCCCAUUUAACUUAAGAGAUCAAAACUCUACAUCUCACUUAAGAUUUGUCCACCAUUCACUUUUCCUAUAAUGAAUAACACCAUCUAAAAGCCAUGGCUCCCUCUUAUAAAUUCUAUUGAUAAUGAUGGUGAUAAAGAUAUUAUAGUUGAAACAUUUUUAGUUUUAUUUAUACCUAUGGGGUACCACUUCUGCCCCUACUCAAAGCUCAGGCAUCUGAGGGUGUCUGAGGACACUUAAGGACACAAUUCCACUCUCAGGGACAUGCACAUAAUGGGCCAUAGUUAUCUAAGAAUGACUUAACAUACUCAACCACACAUGCACAGUAUGGACAAGGUCAUGCAGCAGGUGUUUUGUCUCUCUAUGUCCAAAUAAACUGAUAAGGCACUAUAAUUGUUGUGAACUUAAGAACACUGUAACAUUUUCGUAGCUGUUUUACUGAAGGAAUACAGUUAAGCAGCUCUUGAGCUCUGGAGCAAACACUCCAGUUCUCCUCCUCUGAUGCUGCCCUUACUCUGAUGAUCGGCUCUCUCCACUGGAGAAUUAACUCACUCACGAAGGACUAUAUGGACGAAAUGGACCUCUCCCCUGGUGCCCUUUGCAACCGUGGCAGAAAGAGCUAGAGAUCCGACAAAGAGAAGUUGCAAUAUGUGAAGCCAAAGAACAGAAAGAUAAAGAGUUAGAGGAGAAAAAACACUUCCAAGAAGUUAUGAAGCAAAGAGAAGAGAAAUUGCACAAGCAUACUAAACCCUAUGAGCUUCCUCCCAGGACUGAAGUAAUUUCAUUAGAAAAGACAAUGACUCACAAAAAAACUGAUGUCUACAUGCCAUAAAUUGCUAGCAUGGAAAAGAUCAAGAUGGCUACCUAAAUACUAGAAAAAUGUUUUUGUAAUUAACUUGAGGUUCUUUUUGUUUGGAAAGUUGUUAUCCUGGUGCAAGCUGUCUAAUAGUCAUUGUUUAAUCUUACCUUAGUAGUUAACUCCAAAUCAAAUUUAAAAGAUUUCACUAGUUAUAAAUUUCCAAGACUACAGCUAGUGCUUUUCUCAAUUGAGUCUUCUCCUCUGAAGUAUAGUAUUCUUGAUCAGUCAUUCUCAGAGUGUUGAUAUUCAUUGGAUUAUAUCAUAAAAAUGAACUGAAAAUUAAUUAAUGAGUCGGUCUAUAAGAAUUGUUUUUUCAAACUAGAGUUAUCACUGUCUUAUACAUCUAUAAUUGCUAUUAUUCAAAUAAAAGAACUUAUGGUGUCUCUUUGGAUUUGCAUUUUAUAGUCAAUUUAUCCCAAACUGAACUUUAUAUCAGGGACUUGAACUUGAUAAAUUACUGUACAUAAGCAAAUCUGGAAGUGUCAGUCACCUCUGAUUGGUUUGAUCUUUCAUGAAUGCUAGAGGAAACCUCUGAGUGACAGUGGUUUUACUUUGCCUGAGGAGUUGAUGAGAAUAUAUUUGUAUGAUGCUGGAAUGAAUGGUCAGUACCAAUUAUUGGAGGCAUUCAUCCAAUCAGAAAUUAUUUUAUAAAUGGAAUUUCACUUCACGUGAAGCUUUCAGACUAUGAGCAUCCAAUCAGAAAUUAUUUUAUAAAUGGAAUUUCACUUCACCUGAAGCUUUCAGACUAUGAAUAAGAGUAAAGGGAUGGGGUUCCGGUGAUGCCUUUUAUUCCUUUUCUGAAAAAAUAUAGAUAGCAUAUUUUCCAUUAUUUUUCUUCAAUUUUACACACAUUUUUUUUACACCCAUAUUUUAGUAAUAGUCAAGAGACAGGUGUCAAGUGACUACAUGGGUGAGGGGUCAACAUAAAUUAGUGAAGGGGUGAGGGAAUACCUAACCUAUCUAAAACAUUGCCUAAUACUUGACUACAUUUUGAAAUUUAUGUCAAGCAUUGUAAGAUUAUCUAGUCUUUUUUUAUGAGUUGGAGUCUCACUACACAGUUCAGAAUAGCCUUGAACUCACUGUGUAGCCCAGGUAGGCCUUGAACUCACAGCAAUCUCCCUGUCUCAGCCUCCUGAGUGCUGGGAUUACAGGGGGGCACCACCAUGCCUGGCUGAAAAUUAUCUAGCCUUUGAAGAAGAAGCCUUUAAAUGACAUUUAUUUUUUUUAAUUGGAAGUUCCUAAUUUUUAUAAUGUUGGCAACUAAUUUUUUAAAAUUAUAUACUUUCAGGACUAUAUUUUAUGGAGUUGAGGUAUGAUUAUUUUUGAUAGCAAUAACAUGGUAGAAAAAAUGUUGGAAGUAGGUUUC
rnacentral:lncRNA from 1 species